GGGCUGUGAAGAUGUUUGCGCAUCUGGGAUGGUAGGGUCCAUCACCAUCAUCUGCAAACUGAUGAUAAACCGCGCAGCUGAGCUC
rnacentral:snoRNA from 1 species